GCCCGGUUAGCUCAAUCGGUAGAGCGUGAGACUCUUACGAGUACGUGAUCUCAAGGUUGCGGGUUCGACCCCCGCAUCGGGCU
rnacentral:tRNA from 5 species